rnacentral:rRNA from 1 species
UACGGAGGGUGCAAGCGUUAUCCGGAUUCACUGGGUUUAAAGGGUGCGUAGGUGGGUUGGUAAGUCAGUGGUGAAAUCUCCAGGCUUAACUUGGAAACUGCCAUUGAUACUAUCAAUCUUGAGUACCGUGGAGGUCAGCGGAAUAUGUCAUGUAGCGGUGAAAUGCUUAGAUAUGACAUAGAACACCAAUUGCGAAGGCAGCUGGCUACACGAAUAUUGACACUGAUGCACGAAAGCGUGGGGAUCAAACAGG